AUUGAACGCUGGCGGCAUGCCUUACACAUGCAAGUCGAACGGCAGCACGGGGGCAACCCUGGUGGCGAGUGGCGAACGGGUGAGUAAUGCAUCGGAACGUGUCCUCUUGUGGGGGAUAACCAGUCGAAAGAUUGGCUAAUACCGCACGAGAUCGCAAGAUGAAAGCGGGGGACCGCAAGGCCUCGCGCGAGAGGAGCGGCCGAUGCCGGAUUAGCUAGUUGGUGGGGUAAAAGCCUACCAAGGCGACAAUCCGUAGCUGGUCUGAGAGGACGACCAGCCACACUGGGACUGAGACACGGCCCAGACUCCUACGGGAGGCAGCAGUGGGGAAUUUUGGACAAUGGGCGCAAGCCUGAUCCAGCCAUGCCGCGUGUGUGAAGAAGGCCUUCGGGUUGUAAAGCACUUUCGGACGGAACGAAAUCGCGCGGACGAACAUUCCGCGUGGAUGACGGUACCGUAAGAAGAAGCACCGGCUAACUACGUGCCAGCCGCCGCAGUAACAC
rnacentral:rRNA from 1 species